UACGUAGGGUGCGAGCGUUGUCCGGAAUUAUUGGGCGUAAAGGGCUCGUAGGCGGUUUGUCGCGUCGGGAGUGAAAACACUGGGCUUAACUCAGUGCUUGCUUCCGAUACGGGCAGACUAGAGGUAUGCAGGGGAGAACGGAAUUCCUGGUGUAGCGGUGAAAUGCGCAGAUAUCAGGAGGAACACCGGGUGGCGAAGGCGGUUCUCUGGGCAUUACCUGACGCUGAGGAGCGAAAGUGUGGGGAGCGAACAGG
rnacentral:rRNA from 1 species